UUUUUUUUAAGAAGAUAUUGCACAACUUAGUUAAGAAGUUUCCGUUGUGUGAAUGUGAGGCCUAGAUGGAGGGAAAUGAGCACAUAAUUCCUUCCCAGAAGGAGCUCAAUUUGAACUAUCCUCACAACAUUUUUUUUAUAUCUGUUGUAUAAGAAAUGUUGUAUGAACUUUGAGAAAUCCUCUAGGUACACCUAGUGCAAGACGCACAAAUUUGUACAACAGAUUGUCAUAGUUCUGUUGUCUGAGCAUGGAAGCAACUCAGCAAGUUGCAUAGCGCGGUAAAGUUUCAAUUUGAUGAAACCAAUGUAGGCAUAGGCGGCAAAUUUUCCCUCCCAACCUGCUUUGUCAUAAUACACUCACACAACGGUCCUUUAUUUAUCGGUUGUUAGAGAAACUUGAGACAAAUUGAAGUCUCCCACUAAACAACUUAAUUGAAGCCUGACAGCCACUCUUACUCCUUUACUCUCCCCCAAUUACUCCCACACACCAAACCCGACAAUCACUCUUACUCAAUCCUUUCAAAACAGCAACCCACUCUUACUGGAAACCAAAUCCAAAAUAGCCAGCAACUAAAGGAUGAAUCAAACCAUAGAAAUCAAACCCACUUCUCUACUACCAUCUAUUACGAUUUUUGGAUCUCGAUUUGGAAAACUAGGGCUUUGAAACGAAGUUCUUCAGGGUUCCGUUAUGAUGGUGGACUGAGGUCAUUGAUACUUUGGAAUUUCUUUCCCCAAAAAGAUCUUGGUCUGUCUUGACCAUCAACCACCAUUAUCUCUCUUUCCCGGACUGUUACUUAGCUGGUCGACGUUAUCAAGAGAUGAUUCCAG